UACGAAGGGGGCGAGCGUUGUUCGGAAUCACUGGGCGUAAAGGGCGCGUAGGCGGCCUGAUAAGUCGGGGGUGAAAGCCUGUGGCUCAACCACAGAAUUGCCUUCGAUACUGUUAGGCUUGAGACCGGAAGAGGUAAGUGGAACUGCGAGUGUAGAGGUGAAAUUCGUAGAUAUUCGCAAGAACACCAGUGGCGAAGGCGGCUUACUGGUCCGGUUCUGACGCUGAGGCGCGAAAAGCGUGGGGAGCAAACAGGG
rnacentral:rRNA from 1 species